AUGAGAUGCCACCAACAGCUCACAACUUACCAGCUCCAGGACAAGGCCAACAACCUUCCAUUUGGAGAACAUGGUGAGCUCCAAAGUGUUCUGAGUGCAGAGUCCUCAGGUCCCUCAGGAAAUGCCCAAUUCUGGAGCACUGCAUGGUUCUCACCACGUCUGUUUCCUGCCUUUCUCCCAGCAGCCCUCAAGCCCCAGCAGUAUCGUUCACCUCUGUCCAUCAUCUAGAUCCUGGACUUAAAAUUAGAACCUGGAUCCCAGUUCCAUUUAAGAUUUCCAUGAAUGCUUUCUUCCUCAAAACUAGUAAAGUGACGAAAAGUGAAAUGUAACUAGAUCUUCUGGUUCUGGAUUGUAGCAGCGAUUGAGAUGGAAUCCUAAAAAUAGGAAAGGCAAGAGACAUGGAAGGACCUCAGUUUCCUAGGGAACUUGGUACCUGUCACCUUGUCAUUAUCAUUCUUCUUGCAUGGAGUCUCCUUUACAAUCGUUAGCAACCUUUACUGCCUGAACUUGAUCAAGAAUUUACCAUUGGAAACCAGACUUUGAUUCAGCUUGAGAGAGAAAAAGAGUAUCACAGUUAUGUACUCACCACUCCUCCCCAUCCCCAAACCCAGCAUAGGGAAAACAAAAUUUGAACUUGAAUAAAAUAAACCUGCCUCUUUCUACUUAGACUCUG
rnacentral:lncRNA from 12 species